rnacentral:rRNA from 1 species
UACGUAGGGUGCAAGCGUUAAUCGGAAUUACUGGGCGUAAAGCGUGCGCAGGCGGUGAUGUAAGACAGUUGUGAAAUCCCCGGGCUCAACCUGGGAACUGCAUCUGUGACUGCAUUGCUGGAGUGCGGCAGAGGGGGAUGGAAUUCCGCGUGUAGCAGCGAAAUGCGUAGAUAUGCGGAGGAACACCGAUGGCGAAGGCAAUCCCCUGGGCCUGCACUGACGCUCAUGCACGAAAGCGUGGGGAGCAAACAGG